UUUUUAAAAAGGUAAUACAGAAACAAUGUUCAAAUGUACAAUACACUGUUAUUAACUAGAGUUACCAUGUUCUACACUACAUCCCCACGACUUAUUUAUUUUAUAACUGGAAGUCUGUACCUUUCGACUACUUUCACUCAUUUUGUUAAAAUAGCUCCACCACUAUGGAGUACAGGACUUUCUUGAAAAUGUCCUUCCUGAUACUCAUUUAAAGGCUUCUCACUCUAAGAGGCUGACUCUAAGAAGAAGAAUGGGGAACUAUAUUUGUAAAAGAGGCUCAUGAAAAUCUUUCUGGUGGCUGAACAUCUGCUCAGCAAGGCUGCUUUGGAGGCUCGCCUUGCUGUAUUUAUAUUGUGAAUUCUCUGUGGAUGCUAAGUCUUGGGGGAUGGAACUGUCCCCUCAUUUAUGGCCUAAAAGCACAAGUCAUACGAUCAGCUCUAAUGAAGCAAAUAUCCCUGUCAAGUUCAGAUCAAUUUCACGGGUUUAAUGCCACUCUGACUGCUCCUUCUCUGUCUCCUUUCCUCCCUUGGCCUCAAAAGGCAGCUUACUGUGUGUGCUCUCCAGCCUCGGCUCUUCCCAUCUCCUCUGUGUGACAUGGAAUGCUUAUCCCCACACCCGGAUCCAAUUACUGUGUAUGCGCAGCCCAUCCCAGGCCUGUGCUCCCUUCCCGACAGCUAACUCUUCUCACACCCCUUUAUUUAUUGCCAACUGUAGGAUCUCCCGGGAGUGGGAGGAAUGAGGGAAAGGGUCGUAGCACGUCCAAAGGAGAACCGACCAAAUUUUCUAUCUUUUGCAAACUGUUCCAUUGCCACGGUUCCAUGACCUGUAAGCUGGGAAGAGAACUGAUCUAUUCUAGAAGGCAUCUGGACAUCUGCUGUAUAUAAUCUUUUGGAUACGCCCUCUUUUUUUUUCGGACCAGUAGGAAUGGGAGGAGUUCUCCGAGGCAGCCCCCCAGCCUUGACUGAAAGUUCUCAGUAAGCUCUCCUCAUCUUCCGUCUUCUCUAUCAGUCCUGUCACCAAGGCCAAUCUCUUCGCCUUCUCCCUUCCUCACUGCAGCUCUUCUCACUAUGUGCCUGCCUUCUCCCUCUUCUGAGUCACUGUAUAACCCACAGCAAGAAUCACCUCCCCCAAUAUACACUA